rnacentral:lncRNA from 1 species
CUCAACGAGCAGUGUAUAGUUCUCCCUUGCUCCCCUUCUUUUCUCUGAUCCUCUUGUAAAUUAACCUUUUCUCCCUUAAUUUGUUUGUAAAAAUAUUUACUGAUCGUGUAAAGCCUUCCUCCUUCCUCUUCUCUUCGGGUUCUCCCGGAAGGGAACCCUUUUCUUAUAUCUAUCUAUAGCCAUAUAGAUCUUUAUAUAUGCUUUUUUUUAUUAAUUAAUUAAUAUAUUUCUUGUGUGUUCUUUCAUUCAUGGACCUUUCUUCACUUCACUCCCAAACCUUGAUAGAACCCUCUAUGAGUAGACCUGCAAGUGUAAUUGAUAGAAUAUUUAGAAAUAAAACACCACUAGAUGAUAAUGUUCAAUUAGAUAAAGAUAUUGAACUCUUUAGAAAACAUGGGCUAAAUUUAUUAAAUCCUAGGGUGUUAUAUGGUGAAAAGAAAACAACAGGUAUAACUUCUUUUUUACCAUGUCAUGGUAGAGAGAAAACAACAAGUAGAACUUGUUUUGUCCGACAUUAUAGAGAAGAAACAGUUUCCUGCUUAGAUGAUGGCAAAGCAAUCCUUAAUCUUGUUGACGGAGAAUUUAGAGAAACAUUAGAAAAGCGGAAACUACGUUUCAUGCAUAUUGGUUUGAUAGUUAUCGGAAUAAAAGGAUUAAUCCGUAAACAAUCGGGAACUAAAACAUUGUUAAUGACUUAUGAUGACCGAUUAUGCUAUACUUCCGAUGCAUCUCUAGGAUUAGCAGAAAUAGAUAUGAAUCUUAAUGGAGGAGAAGGUAUAUUUUAUUGUAGUCCAGACUAUCUUAUGGUAACAAAAGAAUUUAUUAAAUGUAUUAAAAUAGGAAUUCAGACAAAAGGCUUUGAAAAUAUGACAGAACCGAAUUUAUUAGUAUGCAUAGGAUAUAUUGGAAAAUUAUCUGAGACAGGUUGGGCAAAUUUUACACUUAAUGUCGAUGGUAUUGUAAACCUCAUAAGUAAUAGAGGCAUCAAAUUGUUAAAACCAUUGGCAAUAAGUUUCGACCAAAAUAUAGGAUUAGAAUGGGAUUUAGAAAAAUUCGGUAAACAUAAAAAAGUAUUAGUACCAACUGACAAAGACCAAAAUGCAGGGUUAGAAUGGGAUUUAGACAAAUUCGUUAAACAUAAUAAAGUAUUAGUGCCAACUAACAAAGUACUUUGUAAAAAUACAGAAAGACGAAACUUGAUAAGAUUCACCGAAGACGAACAAACAUAUGAUAAAAGAGAAGAUUUUCCAUCUAGAAGAGAUUUAAAUCUUCAAACCGAAGAUCAAUCUACUAGCACUAUUAAUAAUGAGUUCAAUCUAGCAAAUAUAGAAUUCUGUCAAGACAACACGAAGAAUUAGAAGAUGACGAGUUAACUCCCGAAGAGAAUUGUUUAAGAGGUCCUUAGACUUACAUGGAUAUAGAAGAAAAGAUAGUACCAAGUAGGGUUUGACACUAUAGUGUUUUUCCUUCUACUUACCUUUUUAGUUUUUUUACUACACAAUGUAAUCCUCACUCACACCUAUUUCUUUACUCUUCCUAUCUCUUCUUAUUUUUGAGUUCCUAAGUACUCUAUUUUCUCUUAUCUUCAUCUUUUGAAAUACACAUAGAUUUCUUCAUUUUACUUGAAGUAAUAGCCUGCAUUUUUACUCCCUUCUUAUAUUUUGUUUCAGACCUCUUUUUAUAUUUCCUCUUCCAGUACCUGUUAGACUAUUUUCUAUUUUUGUAAAAAGAAAAAACAUGCCCUUAUUAAUAUUUUGGUAUCAGAGCCUAAAAUUCUUAUCUUUCUAAUGACUCCAACCACCAUAGAUCCACACAAUUUCCAACACCUCCAAUAUCUAGAUCUUAGAAUCCCUUCAAACUCAAAUCAAAAAAAUUAGAAGAGAGAAUUGCAGCUCUUUCCCUCCAAUCACAAUCACUAUAGUAAGUAACCUCUAUGUCACUCCAGCAAUCUCAGCUAGAGGCACAAGGAUUCGACCACAAGUAAAACCUACUCCACAAGAACCAACUCCUCUGCAGCUCCAAGGCUUCCCAUUACCACUCAUCCCAAUAUUUCCUCAAAUACAAGUUGGCCCACAAGCCACGUAAGCAACCAACCGAAGCAAAACAAAAGGUGACACGUGUACACCGGGAGGCGAAGAGAAGAAGGCCUAAACGGAAUAGCAGUUUAGUGGCCAAUGAGGGUUGGGCCAAAAUAAUAAAAGCCCGAAGCCCACACCAAAAAAAAAAUAAAAAAAAAUAAAAAAAAGAAAUAAAAAAAGAAGGCAGAGGAUUCGAUUCUCUUCUCCUCCACUUGACCGCCAGAUCCAGGCAAUCCCGCCGGGCCGUACGCGAAUCCUGGAGAUCGUGAGGGUACGCCCUUCCCCCCGGUCGGAUCAUGACGAUCCUGUGAAGCCCGCCGAAUCCACCAGAGAUCUGCCCCGUACACAGAUCCCGCGAAUCCCGCGCCCCAAAUCUCACCAGCGCACCGUCUCGUUACUCCGCGCCGCUCGCUGAGCCGGAGAUCCCGCAAAUCCCGCUAUCCCGUACGCAGAUCCCGGAGAUCACGCGUCGGCCGCCGUCAGUCGCGUCAGCGAAUCUCGAGGGCCAUGCUGAAAAUCUCGCCAUUGUCGCCGCUCGCGAGCCCCGUCGACAUCACUGUACACAGAUCCCGCAGAUCUAGCCGCGGAUCACGUCGAGCCAUCUUAUCACCGUCGAUCACCGGUGGAGAUCUGGGGAUUUGGUUCCUCGGAGCCCCUAUAAAACGGCGUCGGGGAGAGACGAGCGAAGGGGGCCCAGGGCAUACAACCCAUCCACACAUACACAGGAAGAGAGAGAGAGAGAGAGAGAGAGAGAGAGAGAGAGAGAAGUAACNCGUCGGCGCUCAACUCGAGGUGCCGCCGCCGUGCCAUCGCUGACGCCGUCCGCUGCCAUGCCCGCCUGUUACGUCGCCCAACGCCGGCCGCUGCUCAACCCGCUAUCACCGCCUGCCGUCGACAUCGCCCAACGCCGCUGCCGUACCCGCUACCGUUGCUCAAGCCGAAGCUGAAACACAACCCCCCACUGCUUCAGAGCAAGAAAGAAGAAGUAAAAGAGAAGAAGGGGUAGAGUUUCCUUAAUUUACUAGCAUUAUAAUGUAUCCAAUAUAAUGUUGUUUUGUUAUCAACAAAAUUCAAAACAAAAUUACUAUGUGUCGUGCUUUGAAUAAAAACAAAAAAAAAAAAAAUGUCUCAUUUGCAGUUAAAUUUUUUUUUUUUAUUGUUAUUAGUAUUAUUAUUUUGAGCUUCUUGAUCGAAGCCUUCUUCUUUUCUUUUUUACAUAAACUUGAUUUUGUGGGGAUUUCAAAAUCAUUCGUGGAAGCCUUAUUAUUUUUUUUAUUUUUUUUAAGGACAUAAAUUAAUCGAGAAUUGGAAACUAUAUUUUGUGCGCAUUUGUUUAUCUUUUCCUUAAGUCAAAAACUACCAAACACUCAUAAGUGUUAUGCAUCAUAUCGUUAUCGGACUAGUGAAGGACCCGUUUGUUGCGGCGAAACGAUUAUGUAGAAAUAAAUAUAUAAAUAAAAUAAAUAAUAGUAAAAAAAAAAGGUCAAAAAAUUGUAUAAAAAAAUAACUAAAAAAUAAACAACUAUUGCUGUAAUAAAAUUAUAAGAAAGAUUAAAAAAAUAAAGACAAAAAUCAUACUAAUAAGAAAUUAUAUAUAAUUAUAUUUAUAAUUAUAUAUAUUAUAAUUAUUAUUAUAAUUAUAUAUAAUUUUUAGAAAAAUUGAUUUAUUGUUCUUACAUUUUNNNNNNNNNNNNNNNNNNNNNNNNNCAGAAAUAAAUAUAUAAAUAAAAUAAAUAAUAGUAAAAAAAAAAGGUCAAAAAAUUGUAUAAAAAAAUAACUAAAAAAUAAACAACUAUUGCUGUAAUAAAAUUAUAAGAAAGAUUAAAAAAAUAAAGACAAAAAUCAUACUAAUAAGAAAUUAUAUAUAAUUAUAUUUAUAAUUAUAUAUAUUAUAAUUAUUAUUAUAAUUAUAUAUAAUUUUUAGAAAAAUUGAUUUAUUGUUCUUACAUUUUGCCUCUAUUCUUCUUUCAUCUAUCUUAUCUUUUUAUUUUUAUUUUUUUUUACUUUUUUUAUGUUUUAUUUUUAAAUUUCCUUCCUUAUUUUUUAUAUAUUUUUAAUAAUUUUUUUAUUCAGCUUAAUUAAAAUUUAUAUUGAAUACAAAUAAUUUAACUUAUUUAAAAAUUAUUUAUAUAUUUUAAAUUUUUAUAAAAAUAAAUAAAAAUUUAGAUUGAAUUAAAAAAAUUUAUAAAUUUUUUUAAUCAUAUAUUAAGAGAACAAAUAUAUAAAAAUAAUUAAAAAGAAAAAGUAGAAAGAGACAAAAAGAGACAAAAAAAAAAAUCCCUUCUCUCUCCCUCUCCUCUUCCCUCAGCUGGGCCCCGCCCUCUCCUCUCCUCUCCUCUCCCGCUCCUCUCCCCGUGCCACGCGGCAGCCCGCCGAGCGCGCCCGCCUGCUGGCGCCCUGCGCGCCCGCCCCACGCGGGCCUGCCUGCCGGCGCCCCGCGCGCCCGCCCCACGCGCGCCCGCCUCUCCCUCUCCUCUCCCUCUCCUCUCCCCGCGCCACGCGGUGCCCCGCCCCACGUGCCCGCCUACCUGCGCAGCCCGCUCGCCCGCGCCACGCGGCGCCCGGCCACGCACGCCCGCCGGCACCUUGACUGAUGAGCAGUAUGCAGAAUGAUCUCUAGUGCGAGUGUGAGCAAUAUCCGACUGCGUAUGACAUGUGGGAGGCUCUUAAAGCAAAAUUUGGUACAACUUCGACUUCAAGGUUGUGCAGUUUGACUAUGCAGUUUGACAGUUAUAAGAAGCGUGCCGAUCAGACUAUGAAACAACACGUGAGAAUAAUGUCAAACAUGAUUCGCGAGUUAAAGUCGGCUGGCGGCACCUUGACUGAUGAGCAACAGAUCCAAGCUAUGAUUCGCUCCUUUCCCAAUUCGUGGGAACAUAUGCGAGUAAAUUUUACCCAUAAUGAAAAUAUCAAAACUUUUGAAGAUGUUGCGCAGUAUCUGGAGUUGGAGGACGAGCGCCUUGAGGCUGUUAAAAUUCCAACUGCCAAUGCUGUUGAGUCAAAUUUUCGCAGGACAUCUGGGUUCAAGCGAAAGAGAACUACUGGGGCUCAAAAUCGUAGCGGAUCCGCGUCUAAGAACCCGAAGAACACUAAAAGAAAGAGAAGCAAACGAGGUGGUAAGAAGGACAAGUCAAAGAUGACUUGUUUCAAUUGUAAUCAUGUCAUGUCCCGAGACCGAUACCAAUUUCGGCCGGCCCAAGCACAUCAAACAGACGCCGAAUGGACAGAGUUUUUCCUGUCCGCCCAAGGCUCAUUACAUGUACAUUUUUAAAAAGAAGUGUACUAGCGGAAACAUACACAAACGGCUUACACGAGGGUAAGCAAUAGCCAUGAAUGAAAGAAAGAAAACUAAACAGCUAUACGAGUACUAUGAUUCUCUUUUGAUCACAUACAUGUAUCCAUUUCAUCCAACUUGCACAUUCAUGAUUCUUUACAUUGCUUGUAUCAUUUCUUUUACAUCAUAUUUGCUCAAAAUAAACAUUACAUUUUUUUCUUUCUUUGCUUUAUACAUCAACAUCUUAAAUCAUCAAAUACAAAAGAUGAUAAAAGGGUAUACUACUAACAAAAUGUAAAGCCCGACUCGGGUGGCCACUGUCUAGGGUGUGAUACCUUUACCGCGGUCGCUCGCCGGCUCGCUCGGUCCCGUCUCUGUGGAAUAGUGGGGUUAGAACUACAACGAAAUUCUAAGUGGGUUCGGCCCCAAUCUCACCGACUUUUCCACUAGGACUAACUCAGGCAUAAUAGAAAGGAUAAGCAGAAUAGUAACCAAACUAUAAUUAUGAUGCUAAUAUGCCUGAACAAUAAAACAGGAAGUAUGCUCAAUGUAAAUCAUGCAAGUAUGCAAGUUCUUUGUUCUUUACUCUUUAUUCUUUAAACUUUGUUCUUUGUUCUUUAAUCUCACGGCUAACCCGGGGGUUUCGCCACAUUAACUUGCCCACAUUAAGUCCAUCAUCGCCGGCCCUCAGCUUCCUCCCGCUAAAACCGUCCUGGGGUUUACUCCAACCCGUAAUGCAAAACUCCGGAGCGCAUCGCUCGAGGGGGAGCGACCGCCCUGGAGCACGAAACUCAUAGCAAGUAUGAUCGAUCCUUAACUCUAAGGAUAUAUAGUUCAAUCAUUGUCUUUACACUAACUCUAGUGUUCUUUACAUCACUUUAUUUUGCUAACUCUAGCAAUCAUUAUUCUUUAACUUUACUCGUUCUUUAUGCCACUUUCAUUUUCUUUUCUUUUCUCUAAUCAUUAUCAUUAUUCUUGCGUCACAUUUCUCUUGAUGCCACACACUAACUCUAGUGUCACAUUACUUUGUUUUGCUAACUCUAGCAACCAUUGUUCUUUAGCUUUACUCAUUCUUUAUGCUACUCGAUCUAUGUUUUAUUGUGUCACUUUGUUCUUUCAUCUCAUUGGACGCUCACAAUACAUCUCAUGCAUACAUAUAGGGUUGGAUAGGUUCUUAAACAUUUCAAGUAGCACGUGUACUCACAUCAUGCAACAUUCACAUAUAUAACAUCUCAUCUACCCUAUAAUGCAUGCAAUAAUAUAGACAUAUACUCAAUUGAAUGACACAUUAGGCAUAGAAGGAAUUCCAACGAGUUUGGAUAGCACCACCCACCUUGUAGGCUUACUUAGGUGCUUCGGUGAUUUUCUUGGGAUUUUUAGCUCCUUAGUUUGUCACCUGCGGCAAAACGAAGUCCUAUUAGGCCAUUUUGCUCAUAUCUUUACAUUGGCUUUUCGUAACGUUAAUUCGAGCACACCAACGCGUCGGAAAUACCCCCAAUUAGGUUUCUAAAAGGUCAAUCUCACUUUGAAUCCCUCGCAAGCAAAAGCCCCAAUUUGGGUGCCCUAGCUCAUAACAUAAAUCAAACUUAGGGUUUGAUCUCUACAAGAAGCAAAAGAAGCUUCAAUCUACUCUAGAGACUCCAUUAAAACCAUUCUUAGUUUAAUCCAAAUCCUAGUUUGGGUUCUACCAUGAGAGGGGUGAAGCUCACCUCUAAGCUUCAUCACACACACCCAACCCAUGGUGUUGAUCUCAUUAACAAGCAAAAUAAAGCUUGAAACACUUAUUAGGCUCAACUAAAACCAUUUUUAGGUCACUUAGUUCACAUUCUAGGGUUUUACCAUGAAUAGGAUUCAAGCUUACCUCUAAGCUUGCUCCUAGGUUGCUCCAAAGAGGAAGAAGAGGAGGUGGCUUCACUCCUUAGCUUCUUCUUCACCUUCUUUCUCCUUUUCUUCUUCUUCUUCUCCUUUCUUUUCUUUGUCUUCUUCUUCUCCUUAUUUUCUAGAGAGAGAAAGAGAGAAGAGAGGGAGUGUGAGGGAGAGAAUGAGAGAAAUGUCCCAAACCCCUCAUAUCAUAACCCAUAUAUUGCAUAAAUGCAAAUAAAUCCCUCAGCUUUUAUCUUAUUACACUGCUCAAACUGGGUAGAUUUCGGGUUCGGGGACCGGUCUCCCCGACUUGGGACCGGUCCCAGAGAGCUCUCCCCGCGGGCAGCAGGGCGCACGCGCGAUGCAACCGGUCUCUCACUGGGGGACCGGUCUCUCGGGGACCGGUCUCUCCCCGCACGGACCGGUUCCCGAGAGCUGGUUUUCUGGGACUUAGCCGAUUUUUAGCUUUUCUCAUUUCUCACGCGUUCGGGGACCGGUCUCUCCCACCAGGGACCGGUCCCCGAGAGCUCAAAAACUGCAGUUUGCAGAUUUUUGAUUUUUAGCUCUCGAAAACCUCCCAUAAUGCACUUUUGAUCAUUUUAACACCUUCGGACUUUCCGAAGUAUACCAUCCUCACACUUUGGUCAAUUUGACUAAAAUUCGAUAUUUAUUUUUCGAAUUUUCGGUAUAUUACAAAUCAGUUGGGAUACUUCACUCGUGAUUGCACUGAGCUGAAGAAGGUACAUCUCUAUCCCGAUUCUCGCUCUUUUGUUUCUUCUAACACGUUUGUUGCUGAAUCUCUCCCUGUGUGGAUUGUAGACUCAGGAGCAACAGACCACGUAGCGAGGGAUCGGAUGGGAUUCGUCGAGUAUCGUCAUGUGCCUGCUGGGAGCAGAAGAGUAUACAUGGGGAACGAUUCAAGUGUCGAUGUGUUAGGCGUUGGCACAUGCAAGUUGAUCAUACAAGGUGGUCGAACUUUAUACCUACAUGAUGUACUCUAUGCUCCAGGAAUUCGGCGGAACUUGUUUUCUAUUCCUGCUAUGCUACAGUUAGGCUUUUCUUUUCGUUUUGAGAGUGAUGUAGUUCAGAUUCAUUUUGGAACUAUUUAUUAUGGGAGAGGUUUUAUGUCAAAUGGUUUUAUGGUUUUGGACAUUGAUUAUAAUAUUAAUAAUAGUGAUUCUUUUUUCCUGCUAUCUUCUGUUGAGAAUGAUCACAAUAUUUCAAUUAAAUGGCAUGCACGUCUUAGUCAUAUUGGGCAGGAUAGAAUGACUAGAUUAGUUAGAGACGGGUUAUUGAGCUCGCUCACUAAAGUCGACCUACCCAUAUGUGAACAUUGUUUAGCGGGAAAAGCGACCCGAAAAUUAUUUAAUAAAGCUUCUAGGGCAGAAUUUUCUUUACAAUUGAUCCAUUCCGACAUUUGUGGCCCAAUGAGUGUGAGGGCAAGACAUGGUGCUUUUUACUUCAUCACAUUUAUAGAUGACCAUACGCUCUUCGGUCAUGUUUAUCUGAUCUCCCAUAAGUCUGAAGUAUUGGAUUGUUUUAGACGUUAUAAUAAUGAGGUUGAGAAUCAGUUAAAUAUGAAAAUUAAAACCUUAAGAACUGAUUGAGGCCGCGAGUAUCUAUCUCAACAAUUCAAGGAAUUGCGUGAUGAAAAAGGAAUAAUCAGACAGCUGACAAUUCCUGGCACUCCGCAGCAAAAUGGUGUAGCGAAGAGAAGAAAUCACACUUUACUUGACAUGGUUAAGUCAAUGAUGGCGCAACCAAAUUUGCCUAUCUCCUUUUGGGGAGAUGCAUUGUUAAUUGUUGCCAACAUUCUUAAUCGUGUACCCUCCAAAAUAGUACCUUCCACUCCUUAUGAAUUAUGGACAGGCAGGAAACCAAAUUUGGAGCACCUGCGUCCUUGGGGUUCGGCAGCCUAUGUGCACAACACUUCUCACAAGCAUGGGAAGUUGGGUCAUAGAGGAAAGAAGUGUAUCUUUAUAAGAUACCCUCAACACUCUAAGGGAUAUGUGUUCAUCGGAAAGCAGCCAGAUGGAAGUUUGACUGAAAUUGAGUCGCGGGAUGUUGAAUUCCUCGAGGAGGAUUUUCCUUAUAGAAAUGAGGUUCGAAAUGAAAUUAAGUUCCAUGAGAUGGAUGACUCUGGUAUUGGCACUUCUAGCUCAGUUGAGGCAGAGGAGGCAACUCCGAUACCUCCUGGGGAUAGUGGGAGCGACUUACCUUUAAAUAAGAAGCCUCAACUUCGUAGGAGCACACGUGUGGGAGUCCCCGUCGUCGUUUUGAGAUUGAGGGGGAAGCUUUCAUGAUUGCUGCACAUGAUGAUGAUGAGCCUAGAUCUUUCUAAGAGGCUCUCUCAUUACCUACUCAUAAGGAAUGGUUGGAUGCAAUGAUGGAGGAAAUAUAAUCGAUAAAGUCAAAUCAUGUCUGGGACUUGGUUGACUUGCCACCAGGGCGCAAAACAAUCGGGAAUAAAUGGGUUCUCAAGAUUCAGCGCAAAGCAGACGGUUCUAUCGAUAGGUACAAGGCUCGCCUGGUAGUAAAGAGUUUUAUCCAACGAGAAGGCGUUGAUUACGAGGAAACCUUUUCUCCUGUUGUGAGGUUUGCUUCGAUCCGCCUAAUCUUGGCUAUUGUCGCAUAUUUGGAUUUGGAACUUUACCAAAUAGACGUUAAAACUGCAUUUCUCAAUGGAGAACUGGAUGAGGAGAUCUAUAUGGAUCAGCCUACCAGCUUCUCUGUAAAGGGUGAGGAGCAUAAAGUUUGUAAGCUCCGACGAUCUAUUUAUGGAUUGAAGCAGUCCUCCAGACAGUGGUAUAUUCGAUUUCAUCGAGCCAUCGCUGAAGAUGGGUUUAUGAUGAUUGAAGAAGAUCACUGUGUGUAUGUUAAACGGUCCAAAGGAUUUUUUCUAAUCCUUUCCUUAUAUGUUGAUGACAUCCUAUUGGCCGGGAAUAAUAAGGAGAUGAUUGUCGCCACUCAGACGUGGCUGUCCUCUAAUUUUGAAAUGAAGGAAAUGGGUGAAACGAAUUAUGUGCUCGGAGUUAAGAUCCUACGAGAUCGUUCAAAGAAACUUUUAGGUCUGUCUCAAGAGACUUGCCUAAGAAAAGUUUUAGAACGAUUUCAGAUGCACAAUUGCAAACCCAUUGACACUCCUAUUGGUAAGGGUGAGAGUUUGAAUCUUAAACAGCGCCCUAAAACUUCUGAAGAGAAGGAUAAGAUGAAUCGGAUCGCAUAUGCUAAUGCGGUCGGGAGCCUGAUGUAUGCUAUGAUGUGUAUUCGGCCUGAUAUAUGCUAUGCCGUGGGCCUGCUUAGCCGUUUUCAGUCCAAUCUGGGAUUCGACCACUGGAAGGCUGUUAAAAGAAUACUUCGUUACCUCAGAGGUACGAUAGAUUAUAUGUUGUGCUAUUAAGGUACGGAUUUACGUCUCAUCGGUUAUAGCGAUGCGGAUUGGGCUGGUGACCUAGAUGAGCGUAAGUCGACCUAAGGAUAUGCAUUCUUACUUGGCAAUGGCGCCAUAACUUGGAGUAGUAAGAAACAGACCUGCAUAGCUCUUUCCACCAUGGAGGCGGAGUUCGUGGCGUGUUCUGCAGCAGCCUAGGAGGCUAUCUGGUUGAGAAGGUUCCUUCGAGAUAUUGGGAUUGUCGCUUGUACUUCCGUUCCUAUGACGAUCUAUUGUGACAGUACGGCAGCGAUUGCAUACACGAAGAACCCGAAAUAUCAUGGCAAGACAAAGCAUAUCGACUUAAAGUAUCACUUUGUUCAUGAGGCAGUGGAGCAGAAGGAAAUAAUCCUGGAACACAUCUCUACGAGUCGCAUGGUGGCAGAUCCUCUGACUAAGCCUAUUGUUAGAGAAUCUUUUUUGGCUCAUGUUAAAACUCUUGGACUCCGUAGGAUUUGAUUGUGUAGAUAGUCGAUUAUUUUUAGCCAUUUUUUUAUAAUUUCUUGGUUAUUUAAUUACAAAUUAUUAUUUUGGCAAAGAUAUUUGGUGAGAUUAGUACACAUGCAUAUAUUUCCUAUAUUGUUGUAGAACUGAUUGAUAGUAUGUCACAGGCUGAUUGGCCCAACUCACACGGGCAAUCAUUCUUUUCGGCGCUGUAGAGAGCGAGCAAAAAUUGAGGCAUUAAUGAAAGCCGCCUUGGUUGGCACCAAGAUGAGGUUAUUAAUGAGACCGUAUACGAAUAGUCCGACGAUUCAUAUGGCCUGUAUAUUAAGAGCCGAAUGUGAGAUCACCGUUUGACGCUUGAGAUAGCGAGCAAAUAGAGAACUCAGGCUAGACACUCCGGGAGUGACUGAGCUAAGAUCCGUAUGACAUUGAGAAAGACAUACGCUUAUUGGGAUUCUCUGUCAUAGCAUGUAUGUCAUACUACAUGUGCUGGGCGACUAAAUAAAGAAGAUGAGUGAAUAGAUCCCUGCUUUCUCAUCGUGUGAAUUCUUACCGGCAUUAUUUUGAGACGAUGUCCUGUCACGCCCUGGGACCGGCGGGGGCCCUCCCGGUGGCGUGCCUAGACCCGCCAUAUGUCUACACAUAUAAGGUGUCUACAAUAAAGCGGAAGUAAAAACAAGAAAUAGAACAAAUAGAAUAAUAACAACUAACAAUAUCAGAGCGAGCAAAGUUCUAUCCUCUAAACCAGAGUAAAGGAAAUAUACCAAGACAAAGAAAGUAAAACAUAAGUUGAUACAAUACUAACUCCUCAAAAGAAAUACCAAGAUCCAAAAGAAAGGUGGUCUCUAUACAUAUACGGGUACAACUCUCAACCUCUCACAAAAUAAAAUAUAGAGAGGUAGACCACCUAAACUCGUCCCUCGCUGAAGGGCUAACUCGAAGCGACGCCCUUCCCACGGUCCCUAGCCUCUCCCGGCGUGGAAGGCUCUGAAAGAAAACAUAAAACAGAGGGCGUGAGAACUAUAAUUUAUAGUUCCCAGUGGGCAAUUACUGACCUCAGCUCAAUGCACCACUAGGCCCCAAAAGAAAAGGGUAAGUAACGACAAUAAUAAUAAGCAAUAAAGAGCGAGUACAAUAACUGCUGAAAGAAAGCAUAUAUGAAAUGCUAUAUUACUAUGUCUCAAGUAAGCAUGAUGUAAGUAUGAUGUACAUCUACUCUAGCAUAAACAAGUACGUCCGAUGGCAACAAGUAAACGCUACUGUCCAAGAUGUCAUGCAUAAAGAAUGAGCUCUAUCAUGCGACCCAGUAUACUAUGACACAAUGAAUGAAACAGGCAAGUAUACUAUAUGUAUCCCAAUGCUAUGUCAUGAGCGUGUCAAGUAACCCAACUACUAAGCCUAUCUAGCAGUGAUUAUUCAUUCUUAACACCGUGUCGAUUUUCAUUUCCAAUUAAGGACCUACCAAAGGUAGUCCAGCUUGUGCCGCCUAAGUGCCUGUGGUAGCCCGACAUCCCUACUCUUGGAAUGUGUCUGUCCCACUCGACCCCGUAGGCUUCUCAAUACCGCACGAGCGAACAUAAGUCGCGUAGGCUAACUCCGGAGUGCCGGCUUGUAGGGAGCGACCCUCACAAGCAUGUGCGAAUGAGCACAAAUGGCAAACAAGCAAGGUCAAAGUCUCAAGUACUCUACUCUCAUGCCUCUCACAUGGCAAGGUCACUAGCAUCCCAAGGAUCUAGUCCAAAGUCUCAAAGUGACGCUCCAACGCACACACUUGCUUAGUGCCUCUUUAUGACACUUAAGCAUCACAACUAAUCAUGCCCAAUUCAUGUUCCAUAUUCCAAUUAAAACAAUACUAGCAAGGUUCACUUUAGCCCGGGCCCAAUGCCUCUUUAUGACAUUGGCCCAAUCUCUCAAAUAGUCUAAGUCCUCAAGCCUCUCUAGGCUUCCAAAAAUCCCUAAUGUCACAAUUGGCAAAUAAGCUAAAUGCAUGAAAGCAAGGUUCAUUUUCAUAAUAGGGAUCUUAGUUUCAAAUCUCAACCAGAAUGCUAUAUCACACAUGCAUGCUCUCUACUACAUAGAGGCCCAAAAUUUUACUAUAUGCAACAUAGGCAUUUUAAGCAUUCUAAAAUUCACAAUAAAUACAUAUAACAAGAAUAUGCAUGCUUUUUCAUUUUAUAACACUUAAAUCGUCAACAAUGAGAUUUUCUCAUUGAGUGGCUAGGUCAAACCCACCGAACCGUCGCGUGCUCCUUCGAUUCGCCGAACGGAGUUGUCCACGAGUCUCAAAAUACCCUAAAAGUAUUGAGCGAAGAGAUACACGGGCAUUACGAUCAACUAUAAGAUCAAACUUUAACAAACUUGGCAAAAGGGCUAAAACUCACCUAAUGUGUGGAAAAUCUCUCUCAAGCUCCAAAAGAGAGCUAAAUCCCUUCCAAUCCAAGCCCAAGGAAGGUUCUAAUCCAAUCAAUCUAGCCUCAAAAGCCCUAGAUCAAAAAGCCCCAAAAAUCAACCCUAAUAUCCAUUCUAGGGUUCCAUAUGGUAAAACCUACCAAAUCAAGGAUCAAAGGGUAGAAUCCAAGUACUAACCUCCCAAGAUGCCUCCAAACAAGCUCCAAAUCUUCUAGGGUUGAAGAUUGGUCCACCACCAAGCUCUACAAGCAAGCUCCAAGCCAAGCAAAGGUGGAAAAGAGAGAAAGGGGUUGAGGUCCAAGCUCCCUCAAGUAAGCUCCUCUUCUUUUUCUCCUCCUUCUUCUUCUUCUCUCUCUAGAAGGUGUGGGGUGAGGGUGAGAAAUGAGGAGGGAAGAGAGGGAAAUGGCUAAUAAGCCCAUCUAGUGUAACAAAAUCCGGAGAGGCCCCUCAAAAACUCAAAUUUACAUCAGCCUGAACUUUGCAGUUUUCGCCCAGAAGGAUCAGUCUCUCCCCAGCAGGGACCGGUCUCUCGCUGCGAACCCGAAAAAUCAACGUUCGGGAACCGGUCUCUCCCUGUGCGGGACCGGUCUCUCACUGCGUAGGCGCGCUCGGGGACCGGUCUCGCCUGCCAGGGACCGGUUGCCUCAAGGCUGCCGCAACACUGCUCACUGGGGGACCGGUCUCUCCUUUCAGGGACCGGUCCCCGAGAGUAAAAACUCUCAGGACUUGUCCCGAAUUCUAGUUUUCGAACUUUUUAGGUCGGAAAACAUUCUACAAUCCUCCACCAAGUGUGGAAAAGCUCGAAAUAUAUCCAAACACUGGAACCUCCAAUUUGCAAAGGUCCAGUGUGCUACAUGUCCUAUAUAUAUUAGAUGCCCUUAGUGACUUCUGACUAUGUCAUUAAGUGAAAGAAUUGAUGUUGCUACUUUGGCAUGUUUCCUACCGCUAUGAGUGAUGCGGCUUUAUGGGGCAUUGCUGGGAAAGCAAUCAGUUCUCAACUCAGUGGCAUGAGGGCUCAAGGAAGACUAGUUAAAUUACAUUACGACACUUUGACUCAUUGUCGACAGGUUGUAUCGCUUCAGUAUAGCGAAACAAUCAUGGGUAUAGUGUCAUAAUGUGCGCAAUUGCGGUUAGCAUGACUCUUUGAGGGAUUAGAGAUGUUGAACCUAAUGUAAUUCAAUGGUUUAGGGCAUCAUGAGUCUAAUAUUUCUUUUUUGAGGGUUGAUGUCUCUAUGCUGGCCGUAUGCGGUUUCUAGUAUAGAGCUCCCAAAAUGCAAGUUGACUCGGCGAUAGCACUGUUCAUUUCCCUGUAUGAAUAGAAUUAAUAGUGGUGUAAUGUUGAGGAAGUGGUUACGACGGCAUCGGCCCCGCUAUGUGCGAGUGGAAGAUGUUGGCAUUUGGUUAAAUCGAAUCGAGUGCGCCCAUAAUCGGGCUCGAUCCGACGGAUAUUAUGUUAUCUAAUUGGAUUAGGAUUAAUCUCGUUUUCAAAUUGGAAAGCUAAUUAGAGAUAAAUUCUAAUCAUAUUAGGAUAACAAUUAAUAACCGAUUUGGCCUUAUCUCUUACGCUAUUAGGAUUUUAGAAUCCCUUAUAAAUAUGCGGGCGAUCCUACAUAACGGAAGACACAGAACAAGAAACAGAGAGACUAAGAAUACAAAAGAGAGAUACCACAUCCUCCAUUAACCUAUUAUUUUAGAGGGACAUGAGCGGUGGAUUUGCGAUCGUGCUCGUUCGUAGUUCGAUCCACCGCGAGUUCGGAGCGUUAGAAGACCUUCAAGGACGAUCCAAGGACACGUGAAUCAAUCUCUACGAUCCGGGCUCAUCGCGUUGUAGCGCGAAUUGCUUCCGCCAAAAGGUACGAACGAAUACUUCCGCUGCAUUCUACAACUCUUCGAUAUCAUUUGCAUAGUAUUCAAAUAGCCUUCGAAUUAACAGUUUUUAAUUGAUAAUAUAAGGUGAGUUUAGGAGCGUUUGGUUAUGGGUUAAAAUGUAUAAACACCCUCUAAACUUUCACCCAUUUUGAACGACUGCAUAAACUUUUUUUUAUUCAUUUGAUUCGCACACCUCUACUUAGUAACCAUUAAUUUAGCUUCUUCUAUCAGCAAUUUUGGAUAUUCUAUUAGAAUCAAAACAAGAGCCCAUGAGAGAUGCACGUCAUCUCCUUUCAACUGAAAUAAUUUUUUUAUCACGUGUGCCUCUUGUGAGCAUUUUAUUUGGAUUCUAACAGAAUUCCCAAAAUUGCUUAGAGAAGAAGUUAAAUUAAACAGUUAGAAAGUAGAGAAAGUGAAAAUAACAUAUAUAUGUAAAUGAAAAAAAAAAAACAAUUUAUGGGGUCAAUUUUCAAAAGAGGUUAAAAUUUAAUUAGGGGGGUGUUUAUACAUUUCAACAUGAAAUAAAUGAUGCUUUAAAAUGUUCCAAAAAUCCAAAAUUGUCAACUGUCAAUUUGAAUGCUCCUUAGUCCAAAAUAAAGUAAAGAUAAGUAGCUCCAUUCACCUCUAAUAAAAGCAUUAAUUUUUAGCUUUUGAUAAGCUAUGUUGGUCUGAUCCUCUGUAAUAACGCUACCUCGUGGCCCUUUUAAUUACAUGUGUUUGUUACUGUACUAUAGAGUUGGAAAAUCUUUCUGAUCUUUUAAUAAAAUAAUAAAAAUAAUUCAAAAGUUUAAUUGUAGUUUUAGAAAAAUUUUGAAAAAAAAAUUAAAUAAUAAAUACUAUAGAAAAGAGAAUUACAAAAGACCUAUAUAUGGAUUAAGAUGUGCAGAGCACUAUUCUAGGACCGAAAUUGCAUCUCCACAUGCGAGACUUCUCGGCAAUUACUUCCAGCGAUACAACAUCGACGUUCCACCCCGUCGGCACGUUUUUAAGGUGGCGCAAGAUAAACAAAACAAACUUUAGAAAAUCCAGCAAAAUAUUAAAAAGCUCAAUGAAAAUCAGCGCAAAAGAUCAAUAGCGAGAAACAAUAUAAACAAAGGUAGGGAUUAGGGUUUUGCUCUCAGGUAUUGUAGUACCCUUGGCUUUGAGUUCGAGACGUUUUGCGCAAAAUAGACGUAAAAACGGACUUUGAAACUCAAGAUUUUUUUAUUGUAGAGGACUAAAGUGGAAAAUCUAGUUGUAUAGGGGCUUAUGGGCAAUUGUUUUUACUUAGUCGGUGGAGUCCACGUGGUCCUCCAUUCUCCAUCCUCAUCCUCUCUUUUUGUUUUUUUGUUAUUUAUAUUGCCAAGUUGUGAGCUAAUUAAUUAGCAGGGUAGCAUUGGGUUCGUUCGUGCGAGCGAUCAAGGCGAGCGAGCAAGCGAGCGAGUCAAGUGCGCGCAUCGUAGUAGCGCCGUUGGAGGCCGGGCGAGCGCGAAAUUUCUUCUCCUAUUGACUUCUCGCUGUCGUGAAUUAGCUGUUGAGGUGGGUUUAUCAUGGGAAUCCUACUCCUAUAGUAUUGUUGGUCGACAUGUAUCGUUAAUAUUAUACGUUGUUAUUGUUUAGCUCAAAUUCAUGAGUAGGUAUGUGUUAGACAUAUAAACUGAAUUGGGAGCAUGUUAUUAGUUGUUAUUAAUCAUACAUGUGGGACUUGGAUAAAACAUAGGAGAAAACCAGCGUUCGGGACCUGACAUAUGUUGAACUACCUGAUUUAGCCCUUGGGGUCGUUGUAUUUUUAUACUGUUGCAGUAUCCUUAUAGUGAGUAUCCCAGGUAGUUCAGAUUUCAGUUACGCUCGUGCUGGGAUGCCGAGCCGAUUUUACAGUAGUGUUUACAGUGUUCCGAAUUAGUGGGUGCCGUAGUGGUUGACGGCGGACCCGGAUUUGAUCGUUCCGAUAUCAGAUUGUGCCGAGGACACAUGGCUAGGGGUUGGUAGUACUUUUAGACCUGUUUUCUUGGCUUUAGCCUGUGAGAGCCUGAUUUAGCUCGACAGAUAUACGCUUGCAUACUCGGUUGGGUCGCGCCCACGAGUGUCGCUCCGGAGUCUGGCUUUGUGCUUUCGCAUUGAUGUCGCUGAUUAGUUGCUAUCCAUGAACUGUUUAGCGUGGAGGUAGCACGGCUUAGACAGGCGGGACAGGUGCGUACACAGUCCCUAAUAAGAUUGUGUUAGAAUUGAUAGUAGACAUAGUGGGAUAGUGUAGUGGCAUGUAGCUGUGGAUUUCUUUCCGGGUUUACCUUUUAGCCUUAUUUCCUACUGUAGUCUUAGUGGGUGAGCCGAUGAGUUUGAGGGCGGUUCCCACUGAGGACUACUUGUUUUACAGUAGUUCUCACGCCCAGUUGUUACCCUGUGUUUUGCAGAGCCUGCUGUUCCGGCUGCUGCGUCUUCAGAGGCGGAUCGAGGCAAGGGCGUCGCGAGCUAGAGCCCUACCCGACGAAGCGCCAUGCUAGAGGACCACCAGCUGCAGGUAGUAGUGUUUUUAUUUUGUGCUUAUGUACAUAUUGAUGCUAGAACUCGCUGGAGCGAGUGUUUUUGUACUUGUUAGUUUGUAUGUAUAUGAGAUUUGUUCGUUCUACCUGCUUAGUUCUCUUUAGCUCUACACUACUAUUUGUAGUAUUGUAUAUUUUACUGAGACAGCUAUCGCUUCGUAUAUAGGAAAAAUUUCUUUGUAUACGGUGGAUUUGUCGGCGUGCCUGGAGAACGUGUAAUCCGGGGCGUGACAGAUUAAGUUGGUAUCAGAGCUUAGCAUUAGGUCAUUGAGACCUAGGAAACCUAAGUUUGGCAAACCUUAGGAAAGCAAGACGGGAGAGGCGUGAUUUAUUGCGAAAUAAUUAUUAUAACUCACCCUGAAGGGAGUGAGUGAUUGGAGGAGUGCCUGUUCUGGCCUGCAAAAUUAUGUUUGCUGCAGACGACAUAAUUUUGAGGAGAAACAGGGGCUGCCUUCCGGACUUUCGUUGAUUGGGUCGAGAGUAUUUGUGUUAUCUGACCAUGUUCUAUUUUUGCAGCUAUGUAUCGUCAUCGAGGCCGACCAUCGACACGGGACCGGGCACAGUUGACACAGGAUCGUGUGGGACCCUCCCAGAUGCCUGAGCAGGCAGAAGCCGAGUGCUCGGCAGGAGCAGGGUACACGACCAGAGACAAGCGCAUUUCCCGAUUUGGGUGCUCAGUUGGCCGCUCUGACAGAGGUGACGAGGCGGCAGGGAGAGUUGUUAGAGAGGUUGUGUGAGAAGGUCACCCCGCCACAGAGUAUCGUACCAGAGCAGAUUGUUCCACCUCCGACUGCUCCAGCGGCAGCACCAGCUAUAGUAGUACCACCACCAGUGACCGUUCCUUCAGUGCCAGUUGCGCCGGUUGGUGAGGCAUCGCAGAUGACCAAGGCUGAGCAGGAGCGGAUAGCUGAGAGACUCGCUCGCUUUCAUCGUUUCGAUCUGCCGACCUUUGAUGGCCGAUGCAUAGAGGCUUGGGUUGUUGAGGACUGGGUCAGCUCGAUGGAGAAGUUAUUUGAGGAUCUUUUCAUUCCUGAGCGGGAGUAGGUACAUCUGGGAGUGCAUUGCUUGACAGGGGAUGCCCUUGCUUGGUGGCGGAGAGUGAGGAGAGAUUACCAGUUGGUGACUUUGCAGAUGACAUGGGACGAGUUCUGUGGAAUGCUGUAUGGGAUGUAUUUUUCAAACAGUGUGAAACAGAAGCUCGAGGAGGAUUUAAAGAAGAUCCAGCAGGGGGACCGAACAGUACAGGAGUAUAUUCGAGAGUUCACGCGACUCCUGAACUGUGUGCCGUUUGUGGCUAGAGACGAGGCACACAGGGUGUACCUUUUCGAGCAGGGUUUGAGGCCCGAGAUUUUUCGGCUGGUUCAGGUGCAGAGGUUGAGGACCUUCGACGCGUCGAUGGAGCAGGCACUUUGGGUUGAGAGAGGUGAUGUAUCUAUUCGGGAGAUGACUCAGGCUGCAGGGCAGAGUCAGGACAGGAAGCAGUCAACUCCAGAUAAGGGUGGACAGUUGAGCAACCGGCGUCCGCCGAGACCUCCAUGGUCGCGUUCUCAGGGUCGUGGGUUCUCAGGGCGUCAGCGUUCUGGGGGAUCGCGGCAGCAGAGGCAGUCACAGGGAUUACCACCAUGUGUGAUUUGUGGAGGACCGCACUGGGCCCAGCAGUGUGAGCAGCGUGAGGGCCGAUGUUUUGGAUGUGGACAGCCGGGACAUAUGAGGUCUGCUUGCCGCCGAGCAGCAUCACCAGCGCCAUCGACCGCUUCAGCAGCAUCCGGAUCUCAGCAAAUUUCUGGAGCAUCUCAGAGUUACCGCCAUGAGGACAAGGCAUCUGCGACGCGACAGGGUGAGCGGCAACAGCAGGCUCCGAGUGACAGAGUAUAUGAAGCCCAGGUGGAGGACUCUUCAGCAGCCGACCGGGUGGUGGCAGGUAUUAUUUUGAUUUCUGGCAUUUGAGUCCGCACUCUUUUUGAUACCAGUGCAUCUCAUUCUUUCGUUAGCCGAGCAUUCGCGUUGUUGCAUGGUCUAGAGUUAGGAGCUUUGUCACAGGCACGAGAGGUGCAGAUCCCCGAUCAUGUAUUACAGGUUACCGAGUGUUGUUGGUCGUGUCCGGUGUAGUUGGAUUCGUGGAUCAUGCCCGCAGACUUGUUGGUUUUAGGGCAGCUGCAGGACUUCGACGUUGUGCUCGGUAUGGAUUGGCUUGCACAGUACUAUGCUACUAUCGACUGUGGAGCGAGGACAGUGACGUUUCGCGAGCCAGGCCAGGAGUAGUUUACUUUUAGGGGCUGCAGGAGUACGCUGUUCGCUACUUGGAUAUCUUCGGCGAUGGCUCGACAGUUGAUGAGUAGAGGAUGUGUCGCGUUUUUAGCGACGGUAGUAGAGGUACCUACAGCAGCGCCGGGAUUCGAGGAUAUCUCUGUAGUCCGCGAGUUUCCGGAUGUGUUUUCCCCUGAGUUGACGAUGAUGCCGCAGGAGAGGGAGAUUGAGUUCAUGAUUGAUGUGGUUCCCGGAACUGCACCAAUCUCGAAGAUGCCUUACAGGAUGGCACCGGCAGAGCUGAGAGAGCUAAAGGCGCAGCUUCAGGAUUUGAUGGACAAGGGAUAUGUGAGACCGAGUAUAUCGCCUUGGGGAGCGCCGGUGUUAUUUGUAAAGAAGAAGGAUGGUUCGCUCAGAUUAUGUGUGGAUUACCGGGAGCUGAAUAAAGUGACCAUCAAGAACAAGUAUCCCUUGCCGCGCAUUGAUGAUUUGUUUGAUCAGCUGCAGGGAUCUUGUGUCUUCUCGAAGAUUGAUCUCGAGUCAGGUUACCACCAGCUGAGGGUGAGGGCCGAUGAUGUUCCCAAGAUAGCUUUUCGGAUUCGGUACGGGCAUUAUAAGUUUACCAUGAUGCCUUCUGGAUUGACGAAUGCCCCUACCGUAUUUAUGGAUUUGAUGAACAUAGUGUUUAAGCCGUUCUUGGAUAGAUUUGUGGUAGUCUUCAUCGACGAUAUCUUGAUUUACUCCUGGAGUGAUGCUGAGUAUGAGGAGCACUUAAGGAGCACUUAAGGAUUGUGCUACAGCUUCUGCGAGAGAAGAAGCUGUAUGCCAAGUUAAAGAAAUGAGAGUUUUGGUUGCGGGAGGUCGCUUUCUUGGGCCACGUGAUUUCUGCAGAGAGAGUAACAGUGGACCCGAAGAAGAUUGAUGCUAUUCGGGAUUGGCCCACACCGACGACGGUGACAGAGGUGAGGAGUUUUCUUGGACUAGCAGGAUAUUACAGUCGGUUUGUGGAGGGCUUUGCGAAGCUUUCCACACCCCUUACCAGGUUGACACGGAAGGGGAUUCGAUUUGUUUGGUGUGAGGACUGCCAGAGGAGCUUCGACGAGCUGAGACAGAGAUUGAUGUCAGCUCCUAUCCUUGCUCUCCCUGUGAUGGGGGAAGAAUUCGUGAUCUACAGUGAUGCAUCGCACAGUGGACUAGGUUGUGUGCUGAUGCAGCAUGGUAGGGUAAUUGCUUAUGCUUCACGAUAGUUAAAGAAUUAUGAGAAGAAUUACCCUACGCAUAAUUUGGAGCUUGCCGCGGUAGUCUUUGCUUUGAAGCUGUGGUGGCAUUAUUUGUACUGUGAGCACUGCGAGGUUUUCACCGAUCAUAAAAGUCUCAAGUAUCUGUUCACUCAAAAGGAAUUGAAUCUCAGGCAGCGCCGGUGGUUGGAGUUACUGAAGGACUAUGAUAUUAGUAUUCAGUAUCAUCCCGGCAGGGCGAAUGUAGUGGCAGAUGCAUUGAGCAGGAGUGCAGCGCAGAGCUUGAGUUUGUUGAUCACUCAGCAGAGACCGCUACUUGAGGAGCUACAGCGGCUGAGGCUUGAGGUGGUGUCCCUUGGGUCCACAGCAAGACUGAUGUCUCUGGUCUUGCAGCCCACUCUGUUUGAUAGGAUCCGGGAGAAAGAGAGUGGAGAUCUGCAUUUGUUGAGGAUUCGAGAGCAGUUAGAUAGGGGACAGGUGGAGGGUUUUGCCUUAGACAGUUCGAGAGUACUGCGGUACAGGGACCGACUGUGUGUGCUUGUGGAUUCUAAGAUCCUAGAGGACAUCUUGAGAGAGGCUUAUUGUUCACCUUAUACGGUUCACCCUGGGGAAACCAAGAUGUAUAAGGAUUUGAUAUAAGGAUUUGAAGGCACAGUUUUGGUGGAAUGGGAUGAAGAGGGACAUUGACAGAUUUGUAGCUCAGUGUCUACCUUGCCAACAGGUAAAAGCCGAGUAUCAGGUACCUGUUGACAAGCUUCAGAGUCUGUCAGUGUCCGAGUGGAAAUGGGAGUAGAUCACGAUGGAUUUUAUUGUGGGGUUGCCUAGAGCACAUGGUGGUUAUGAUGCUAUUUGGGUGAUAGUGGACAGACUGAAUAAGUCUGCUCACUUCCUACCAGUUCAGACUAUCUGGUCUAGAGAAAGACUCGCGCAGUUGUAUCUGGAUGAGAUUGUCAGGCUACAUGGUAUACCAGUAUCGAUCGUAUCAGACCGGGACCCGAGGUUUGUGUCACAUUUUUGGAGGAAUUUACAGACAGCUUUGGGGACUCAGUUACAUUUCAGCACAGCGUUUCAUCCGCAGACUGAUGGUUAGUCGGAGCGGACCAUUCAGACUCUAGAGGACAUGCUGAGGGCAUGUGUCCUGGAUUAUGGAGGAGGGUGGUAUCGACACUUGAGACUAGCAGAGUUAGCGUAUAACAACAGCUAUCAAACGAGCAUUCAGAUAGCUCCGUUUGAGGCAUUAUAUAGAUGCAGGUGUCGAUCCCCGUUGUUUUAGAGUGAUGUGGGUGAGAGGAGGACACUUGGGCCUGAGAUUUUGCUAGAAGCUGAGGAAAAGGUGAGAGUUGUUCGACGACACCUUUUGACAGCCCAGAACCGCCAGAGGAGCUACGCUGAUACCAGGAGACGAGACUUGGAGUUCCAGGUUGGAGAUCAUAUAUUUCUUAGUCUCGCCGUCCAGAGGGAUUCGCCGAUUUGGAGUGCGUGGAAAGCUCAGUCCACAUUUCGUUGGCCCUUUUGAGGUAUUUGAGCGAGUUGGACCAGUUGCUUACCGGAUUGCUCUACCUCCCCGACUUGCUGGUAUUCAUGAUGUGUUCCACGUCUCGGCGCUGAGGAGAUAUGUUUUCGAUCCUUCUCAUGUGAUUGACUUCACUCCACUAGAGAUUGGCGAGGAUCUGAGAUACGAGGAGCGACCGAUGCGGAUUCUUGCUCGUGAGACGAAAGAAUUACGCAACCGGGUCAUCCCGUAUGUGAAAGUGCAGUGGAGCAAUCACGAAGAGCGGGAGGCGACUUGGGAUCCUGAGACAGUGAUGAGGGAGUCCUACCCCGACCUGUUCGUUGUCCCGUCUUGAGAUAUGCUUUAAGUUUCGAGGACGAAACUUUUUGUAGUAUGGGAGGAUGUAGUACCCUUGGCUUUGAGUUGGAGACGUUUUGCGCAAAAUAAACGUAAAAACGGACUUUGAAACUCAAGAUUUUUUUAUUGUAGAGGACUAAAGUGUAAAAUCUAGUUGUAUAGGGGCUUAUGGGCAAUUGUUUUUACUUAGUCGGUGGAGUCCACGUGGUCCUCCAUUCUCCAUCCUCAUCCUCUCUUUUUGUUUUGUUUUUUUAUUUAUAUUGCCAAGUUGUGAGCUAAUUAAUUAGCAGGGUAGCAUUGGGUUCGUUCGUGCGAGCAAGUCAAGUGCGCGCGUCGUAGUAGCGCCGUUGGAGGCCGGGCGAGCGCGGAAUUUCUUCUCCUAUUGACUUCUCGCUGUCGUGGAUUAGCGGUUGAGGUGGGUUUAUCAUCGGAAUCCUACUCCUAUAGUAUUGUUGGUCGACAUGUAUCGUUAAUAUUAUACGUUGUUAUUGUUUAGCUCAAAUUCAUGAGUAGGUAUGUGUUAGACAUAUAAACUGAAUUGGGAGCAUGUUAUUAGUUGUUAUUAAUCAUACAUGUGGGUAAAUAAUUAUGACCAUUAAAAUAUAAAAUUUAAAUAAUUAUAUAAUAUUUAAAUAUUAUAGAUUUUAAUUCCUAAAUUUAAAAUUUAAAAAUAAUUAUAAAAUUUUAAAAUAUAAAUUUAAAAUUUGAUAUUUAAAAAUUUAAAUUUUAAAAUUUUGAAAAUUUAUAAUUUGAAGCAUUAAAAAUUAUAUAUUAAAAUUUAAAAAAUUUAAAUUUUACAUUUACAUUUUAAAAAUCUNNNNNNNNNNNNNNNNNNNNNNNNNAUUUUAAAUUUUAAAUUUUAAAUUCUAAAUUUAAAGUUUGAAAUUUUAAUUUUAAUUUAUAUUUUUAUAUAUUAAAAUUUUAUAUUUUAAAAUUCAUAAUUAUAUAUAUUUUUAAAUUUAUAUUUAUAUUUUUAAUUUUUAAAUUUUUAAAAUUUUAAAUUUUUUUUUAAAUUAAAAUAUCAAAUUUUAAAUUUUGUAUAAUUUUGAAAUUUAAAUAUUUUAUUUUUAAUUCAAAUUUAAAUUUAGAUUUUAAAUUAUUUUAAAAUAAAAAUUAAUAAAAAUAUUAAUUUAUGGAAAUAUCAAAAAAAAUUUGUCCAACAGCUUUUCAAAAUCAGUUCAGAAAAAUUACUUUUAUCUAAACUCCGCCAAACGCUCUACAGUUUUUAACUAAAAUUACUUUUCCAAACUAAAAUUAUUUGUUUAGAAAUUAUUUUUUCAGAAGCUAGGCCAAAUAGACCCACAGUUGUAGCAAAUGAAACUAGGACGGAGUUAGUCACAGUUUCAAUUAAGUACUUGGGCAGAAUGUUAAAGUAAGAGGUAUCUUUCCCACAUAAUCACCUUUUAAAUGAAAAAAAAAAAUAAAAUCUUCUCCACUGUAAGUUGUCUCACACCCCAUAUGGAAAGUGAUAAAAUAGACAAAUACAGUUCCUAACUACAUGUAAUCGAGCAAAAUUUUUAUAAUUACAACGCCUUCGAUCUACAUUCAAUUAAAUAAGAUAUAUGUAACUAUAAUCAUUAUAAUUUCAACUAUAUCAAUCUUUAUAUUAUAUUUGUAAACUGAAAUUAUACUUUUGGUCCUCAAAUUUUGAGUAGUGUGGCACCUUAGUCCUCGAAUUUUGAUUUGUUGUCAUUUAUGAAUCAAAAAUUUUAAAUUGUUGCAAGUAAACUCUACGGUCCAACUUAACUGGUUAAAUAAUAAUUUAUCGCUAAUAUAGAAUUAAUGUAGUAGUGUUACAAUUGAUAACGUGGCAAUUAUUAAGAUGUCACAUUGUUACCACUUAGCGAAAUAUCAAUAUUCAGUCAACUUAAUUGAACUUUGUGUCACGCCCCGGGGCCGAUUUUAAAAGUCUUUUUAAAACAGAGUUGCGGAAAACGUGCCAUUUUUUUUUUUUUUUUUUUUUUUANUCAUACAUGUGGGGCUUGGAUAAAAUAUAGGAGAAAACCAGUGUUCGGGACCUGGCAUAUGUUGAACUACCUGAUUUAGCCCUAGGGGCCGUUGUAUUUUUAUACUGUUGCAGUAUCCUCAUAGUGAGUAUCCCAGGUAGUUUAGAUUUCAGUUACGCUUGUGCAGGGAUGCCGAGCCGAUUUUACAGUAGUGUUUACAGUGUUCCGGAUUAGUGGGUGCCGUAGUGGUUGACGGCGGACCUGGAUUUGAUCGUUUCGAUAUCAGAUUGUGCCGAGGGCACGUGACUAGGGGUUGGUAGUACUGUUAGACCUGUUGUCUUGGUUUUAGCCUGUGAGAGCCAGAUUAAGCUCAACAGAGAUACGCUUGCAUACUCGGUUGGCUCGCGCCCACGAGUGCCGCUCCGGAGUCUAGCUUUGUGCUUUCGCGUUGAUGUCGCUGAUUAGUUGCUAUCCACGGACUGUUUAGCGUGGAGGUAGCGCUGUUUAGACAGGCGGGACGGGUGCGUACACAGUCCCUAAUGAGAUUGGGUAAGAAUUGAUAGUAGACACAGUAGGAUAGUGUAGUGGUAUGUAGCUGUGGAUUUCUUUUCGGGUUUACCUUUUAGCCUUAUUUACUACUGUAGUCUUAGUGGGUGAGCCGAUGAGUUUGAGGGCGGUACCCACUGAGGACUACUUGUUUUACAGUAGUUCUCACGCCCAGUUGUUACCCUGUGUUUUGCAGAGCCUGCUGUUCCGGCUGCUGCAUCUUCAGAGGCGGAUCGAGGCAAGGGCGUUGCGAGCUAGAGCCCUACCCGACGAAGCGCCGUGCUAGAGGAUCACCAGCUGCAGGUAGUAGUGUUUUUAUUUUGGGCUUAUGUACAUACUGAUGCUAGAACUCGCUAGAGCGAGUGUUUUUGUACUUGUUAGUUUGUAUGUAUAUGAGAUUUGUUCGUUCUACCUGCUUAGUUCUCUUCAGCUCUACACUACUGUUUGUAGUAUUGUAUAUUUUACUGAGACAGCUAUCGCUUCGUAUACAGGAAAAAUUUCGUUGUAUACGGCGGAUUUGUCGGCGUGCCCGGGGAACGUGUAAUCCGGGGCGUGACAGGUAUGCCUUGGCUCAGGGUUGAACUCAUACAACCUUCUCCAAUAUAUAUAUAUCCAAAGCAAAGAUUUUGGUUCAAUGCGUCAAUUUCUUUAAAACGCAAGAUAAGUCUAAGAUUAUAAGAGAAAUGGAUUAGGACUCCCAAAAAGGUUAGAACUCUUAAAAAGUUAAAGAUAAAAUCAGAAAAUAAAAAAUAAAAUAAAAUAAACUGAAUGCCUGAACCGCCCGUGCCGUCACCCACCCGGCCCGGCUCGUGCCGUGCGUGUGUAUAUUUAAUCAAAAGUAUCAUUCUCAUUUUCUUUCAAACAAUUUGCUUGAGAAUAAAGGAGAAUAUAAAUAACAACAAUAUAUUUUUAGUUUUUAAUGUGGAAUUAAUCAUCACUAGUGAAGAGUCCCGCGCUUUGCAGCGGAUAGAAACUAUAGUAGUAAUUAAUAAUAAUAAAAUAUUAAAUAAUGUUUUGUGUAUCUCACUUAGUACAUCUGCCAAUGAUGAAGAGAGAGAGAGAGUAAAAUAGCUCAUUCUAAAUAAAAAUUAAAUGAGAGAGAUGAAGAGACGUAUGUUGAGAAAGAGAGAAUAAAAUAGGAGAGAUGAGGAGACGAAAGUUGAGAGAGAGAGAGUAAAAUGGCUCAUUCUAAAUAAAAAUUGAAUGGGGGAAAUGAAGAGACGUACGUUGAGAGAAAGAGUAAAAUGGCUUAUUCUAAAUAAAAAUUAAAUGGGGGAGAUGAAGAGACGUAUGUUGAGAGAGAGAAUAAAAUGGAUCAUUCUAAAUUAAAAAAAUUUCAAAAUUAGGAGGUUAUGACACAUCAGCUUAAAACAUUGGGGAUUCAUAAAGAGUAAUAGAUAUGUGAAAAUCUUAGUUGGGUUCUCAGGCAAGACCUAUCAAGUAUUGGGCUGCCCAAGAGACCUAACAAGUUUUAAAUCACAAAAAACCCAAUAAAAACAAACACUAACUAUAUAUGUAGCCAAUUUGGGUGCUUGGAUUAUUGCACGAGCAUUCAAUUGUCAUAGUUAAAACUCCAAGAGAAGACUCAGGGGCCGUUUGGCCUAGCUUUUAAAAGCGCUUUUGGGCUGAAAAGCGAUUUUUCGGCUCAAUAGAGCGUUUGGCAACUCACUUUUAAAAUCUGAUUCUGCUUUUUAGAAUCAGAAAACUGAUUUUGAAGGCCCCAGAAUCAGAAAUAGAAAAAAGCUGUUUCUUAAAAUUUGUUUCUGAUUUUGGGUUUAAACUUUAAAUUUUUAUUUUUAUUUUAAUUUUAAUAUUUAAAUUUAAAUUUAAUUUUAAAUUUUAAUUUUUAGAUUCAUUUUUGAAUUAUUAAAUUUAAACAUUUAAAUAUUAAGUUUUAAAUUUUGAAAAAUAGAUUUCAAACUUUAAAUUUUAAAUUUUAAAUAUAAAUUUCAAAUCUCAAAUUUUAGAUUUUAAAAUUUAAAAUUUAAAAUUUAAAAUUUAAAAUUUAAAAUUUAAGAUAAAAUUUAAAAUUUGAUAUUUUAGAUUUUAAAAUUUAAAUGUAAAAAUUUAAAUUUUUUAAAUUUUAAAUUAUAAUUUUUAAUCUUCAAAUUAUAAAUUUCAAAAUUUUAAAAUUUAAAUUUUAAAUUCCAACAUAAAAUUAUAAAUUAAGAAAUUUAAAUUUUAAAUUUCAAAAUUUACACCUAGGUUUCUAAAUUUUAAAAUCUAAAUUAAAUUUUAAAUUUUAAAUUUUAAAUUUUAAUAAAAAUUUUAAAUUUUAAAAUUCAAAUUUAAAAAUUUGAAAAUUUAAGUUUCAAAUUUUAAAAUUUAAAAUUUAAAUUUUAACUUUUAAUUUUGAAACUCAAGAAAUUUUAUAGAAUUACACACUAUGCGUCCAAAUAGUUUAAAAAUUAAAUUCGUGAAAUUUUUUAGAGUUACAAAAUUUUUUAUUUUAUCCA